rnacentral:rRNA from 1 species
GACGAACGCUGGCGGCGUGCCUAAUACAUGCAAGUCGAACGAACCGCGACUAGGUGCUUGCACUUGGUCAAGGUGAGUGGCGAACGGGUGAGUAACACGUGGGUAACCUACCUCAUAGUGGGGGAUAACAGUCGGAAACGACUGCUAAUACCGCAUAGGACAUAGGAUCACAUGAUCCAGUGAGGAAAGGUGGCGCAAGCUAUCGCUAAGAGAUGGACCCGCGGUGCAUUAGCUAGUUGGUAGGGUAAAGGCCUACCAAGGCGAUGAUGCAUAGCCGACCUGAGAGGGUGAUCGGCCACAUUGGGACUGAGACACGGCCCAAACUCCUACGGGAGGCGGCAGUAGGGAAUCUUCCGCAAUGGACGCAAGUCUGACGGAGCAACGCCGCGUGAGUGAAGAAGGUCUUCGGAUCGUAAAGCUCUGUUGUUAGAGAAGAACAGCGCAUAGAGUAACUGUUAUGCGUGUGACGGUAUCUAACCAGAAAGCCACGGCUAACUACGUG